rnacentral:rRNA from 1 species
UACGUAGGGGGGCAAGCGUUGUCCGGAAUCAUUGGGCGUAAAGAGCGUGUAGGUGGCUCGGUAAGUCCGCUGUGAAAGUCCAGGGCUCAACCCUGGAAAGCCGGUGGAAACUGUCGAGCUCGAGUCCGGAAGAGGCGAGUGGAAUUCCUGGUGUAGCGGUGAAAUGCGCAGAUAUCAGGAGGAACACCAAUGGCGAAGGCAGCUCGCUGGGACGGUACUGACACUGAGACGCGAAAGCGUGGGGAGCAAACAGG